AUCAUAGCCAUGUAGACACAACAUAGAGAAGCUCCCCACCUGGCUCUCAGCCACUAUUGUCUGUGUAGGUAUAAAUGUAACACUGACCCUGUGAGGGGCUGCUGAAUAAAGCCAUGUCUCAACUACCUGCUGUCUCUCGAGUGUUCUUCCAGCUCCCUGCCCCACAUCCACUCACUCCCCUCAGCCCUCAGCUGGGGCUGGAACCUGACCCUGAGCACGACAACUGGCGAAGUCGGCAGGAUGAGGACACUUUGGAGGCCUGCCGGAAGUGCCAGGCAUGCGCCCAGGCAUACCCCAGACGGAGACAGCUGCCCACUGUAACACAGCGAGUGACGUGGUAGAUUGGCGGCUCCAACAGCAUCGUAGACUGGGCCCACACCUACGCCGAGGUGACCAAUGUCUCCAACUGUUGGAUCUGCACCGCCCUUCCAGCAGCAGCUGCAGACAGCUGGCCCUGGCAUGUGCAUCCAGCUUCUGUGAAGAACCGGACAUAGCUAGAGACUUGAGGUCCCACAGACAAUGCGUGGGAUGCAACACAGUGGGCUUUGGAUGGGGGCAUGGCAAACCCCAUGGCGAGCCUGCCCCCUGGCUGACUCGCAGUGUCCAUGAUGAAUGGGGCUGGUUAAUGGGAAACACAUAGUGCCCCCAUUGCAGGUACCAUGAUGUAUAGAGAAGCACUGGGGUAAUGUCACUGUAGGAUGGUUGCCUGCUGAGGUUUGUGCAAAUAAAACAUGUGUCACCACACCAAGGGUGUGGAGGAACAAGCGACCUUACCAAGGCCGGGCCCCCAUGGACUUUGUGCCCCCUGGGAAUUUAUGGGUCUGUGGGGACACAGGAUGGCCAAAUCUGCCAGCCAAUUGGACUGGACGUUGUACCUGGGGGUGGCCUUAUGUGCCUGCCAUCAUGCUUCCCACAUUGCCUAGUUGCCCACAUAAUUGGGAGGCACUGCAUUCCCACUUUUUCUGAGUGCAGGGCACCCCCUGGUGGUUUUAUCCCUUAGCAAUACGUAUCCCUGGAGCAGGUGUCAUUACUUUGGAAAAGCAGGUUACAGCCUUUGCAGAGCACACAGCUGGGGCCCUAAAUUACACCCAAGUUGCUCUCCUUUUGUUAACUAAUGAAGUUGACCAGGUCAGGAAGGUGGUGCUGCAAAACACGAUGGCCUUAGACAUAGCCUUAGACAUGCAAGGACAUAGGUGGCCCCUGUGCCUUGUAGGGACACAAUGUUGUACAUUUAUCCCUGAAAACCACUGGAAUGUAACGGCAGCUUUGCAAGGGGUGUCAUAGGAGAUUAAGGCAAUUGAGCACCUUACUGAUGACCCCCUACAGAGAUGGUGGGCGUCUUUUGGGCUCUGGCCUAUGUUGGGCUCUCAUAAUCAUAAGUAGCAUAGCAGGAUAUUCCUGGUAGGUUGUUGCUCUCUGUGUGGUUGCUGUGGCCUAUGGGUCCAGGGUACUGCCAUAUGUGCACAGGUCCCCACCAAGAGGAUCCCCUUGGCCUAGAGGAUGGAGUGUAAGGAACAUGGCUGUGCUGUAGCCAAGCAGGCAUAGGGCAGCAGGCAUAGGCCAAGGUAAACAGCCUAAAUGACUCAGAGGGAUUGGGGUGCACGCGCACACUCCCAUGUCUCAUACAAUCAUAGCCAUGUAGACACAACAUAGAGAAGCUCCCCACCUGGCUCUCAGUCACUAAUGUCUGUGUAGGUAUAAAUGUAACACUGACCCUGUGAGGGGCUGCUGAAUAAAGCCAUGUCUCAUCUACC
rnacentral:lncRNA from 10 species